rnacentral:rRNA from 1 species
AGUCGAGGGGUAUAGUAGCAAUACUUAGAGACCGGCGCACGGGUGAGUAACGCGUAUGCAACCUGCCCUUUACUGGAGGAUAGCCCGUAGAAAUGCGGAUUAAUACCCCAUAGUAAUAUAGGAUCGCAUGAUUUUAUAUUUAAAGUUUCGGCGGUAAAGGAUGGGCAUGCGUGACAUUAGCUAGUUGGAGAGGUAACGGCUCACCAAGGCUUCGAUGUCUAGGGGUUCUGAGAGGAAGAUCCCCCACACUGGUACUGAGACACGGACCAGACUCCUACGGGAGGCAGCAGUGAGGAAUAUUGGUCAAUGGGCGAGAGCCUGAACCAGCCAUCCCGCGUGCAGGAAGAAUGCCCUAUGGGUUGUAAACUGCUUUUUCGCAUGAAGAACACCCCUGACGUGUCAGGGGCUGACGGUAAUGCGUGAAUAAGCACCGGCUAACUCCGUGCCAGCAGCCGCGGUAAUACGGAGGGUGCAAGCGUUAUCCGGAUUUAUUGGGUUUAAAGGGUGCGUAGGCGGCUAUUUAAGUCAGUGGUGAAAUCCUGCAGCUUAACUGUAGAACAGCCAUUGAAACUGAAUAGCUUGAGUGAUCUUGAGGUAGGCGGAAUGUGUAGUGUAGCGGUGAAAUGCUUAGAUAUUACACAGAACACCGAUUGCGAAGGCAGCUUACUAAGGAUUUACUGACGCUGAUGCACGAAAGCGUGGGGAUCAAACAGGAUUAGAUACCCUGGUAGUCCACGCCGUANACGAUGAUAACUCGCUGUUGNCGAUACACAGUCAGCGGCUU